rnacentral:lncRNA from 1 species
CCGGGUCCAAUUUCCAGCAACAUGCAGUUUGCUGUCAUUUUUCAAUUCUCAGCUACUAGGUCCAUCACUCCCUUCAAUCUCAGGUGGUUCAUAAUCUAAAUUUCUGUUGUGCUGAAACUGUGAAUUGCUGGAGGUCAUGCUCCUCAUGUUCAAGCCUUGCUGAUUGAUGUCAAUGAAUCAAGAUGUGAAGAAACAGCAGCCUGACGGUCUCUGUUCAAUCAUAUAUGUGCUGGAUAAAUCUAUAUGUCAUCACAAGACAAUUACAACAGAUUAACAAGCUUUGUCCAAUCUAUAUGGUUAAAGAUGUGAGGUCAGACUUAUUGAAGAGGCUGAAACAUAUAUUAUAUUAAAUUCUACCCACCUUGUGAAAACAAGAAGCUGAUAUAUGGCUAUCAAUCAGCUCUACUUCAGAUGGGAUUCUAGACUUUGCUAUUAUCUACUAGUUCUUUUUUUUUAAAUAGCAUGUGCAUUGGUUGAUGUGAACUAAGAUGAUAUAUUUCUUACAUUGGACUUAAGUCAUUGGCAUUAAGCCAGGAGCAUAUAUCUAUUAAGAUCACAAUGGUUUCAUAUGUUAUGAACUGAUUUUUAAAUUAUUUUUUUAUAUUUGGAUUUACAUGACCGAGUCAUAAAGCUUCAGGUGCAUUUGUUUGGGCCUGCUGGAGUUACAGGAGUUGUUUUGUCGUCGUGUUAUCCAUGGUAGAUUAGAAAUUCGUAAUUGAUGAAUCAUGAUUAGUAAUGAUUGGUUCGAGGCAGGAGCCAGAUUAAAAUUCUUGUAAGUUGGAUUCUAUUUUGC